rnacentral:rRNA from 1 species
CAGGAUUAGAUACCCUGGUAGUCCACGCCGUAAACGAUGUCUACUAGUCGUUGGGUCCCUUGAGGACUUAGUGACGCAGCUAACGCAAUAAGUAGACCGCCUGGGGAGUACGGCCGCAAGGUUAAAACUCAAAUGAAUUGACGGGGGCCCGCACAAGCGGUGGAGCAUGUGGUUUAAUUCGAUGCAACGCGAAGAACCUUACCUGGUCUUGACAUAUCUAGAAUCCUGCAGAGAUGCGGGAGUGCCUUCGGGAAUUAGAAUACAGGUGCUGCAUGGCUGUCGUCAGCUCGUGUCGUGAGAUGUUGGGUUAAGUCCCGCAACGAGCGCAACCCUUGUCCUUAGUUACCAGCGGGUUAAGCCGGGAACUCUAAGGAUACUGCCAGUGACAAACUGGAGGAAGGCGGGGACGACGUCAAGUCAUCAUGGCCCUUACGACCAGGGCUACACACGUGCUACAAUGGUAGGUACAGAGGGCAGCUACACAGCGAUGUGAUGCGAAUCUCAAAAAGCCUAUCGUAGUCCAGAUUGGAGUCUGCAACUCGACUCCAUGAAGUAGGAAUCGCUAGUAAUCGCGGAUCAGAAUGCCGCGGUGAAUAC